GCUUCUUCUUCUGAAAAGAGGAAGAACGGCGACAGGUCACGUGACAUGUUUCCUCUUCAACGCGCAGAGAGGCUCAGACUCGACGCGACAAGCAGCGAUGACGCCGACCGCUCAAGGCCUGAUGUUGGGCAGCCUGCUGCUCGUCUCCCUGUGCGUCGGGGCAGCGGCCAUGUUUGACAGCCGUCUGGACGUCCAAUGGGAACUGUGGAAGAAGACCAACGAGAAACAGUACCGAAACGAGGUGGAGGACGUCCGCCGCCGGGAAUUGUGGGAGAGGAACCUGAUGCUCAUCAACGAUCACAACCUGGAGGCCUCGAUGGGGCUUCACACCUACGAGCUGAGCAUGAACCACAUGGGAGACUUGACGCCGGAGGAGAUCCUGCAGUCUUACGCCACGCUCAGUCCCCCCACCGACAUCCAGAGGGCGCCAUCUGCCUUCGCGGGGACAACCGGCGCCGGCGCUCCGGACACCGUGGACUGGAGAGCGAAGGGCUACGUCAGCAGCGUCAAGAACCAGGGUUCUUGUGGCUCCUGCUGGGCCUUCAGCGCCGUGGGGGCCCUGGAGGGCCAGUUAGCCAAGACAACUGGGAAGCUGGUGGACCUCAGCCCCCAAAACCUGGUGGACUGCUCGGGCAAAUACGGCAACCGCGGCUGCAACGGUGGCUUCAUGAACCAGGCGUUCCGCUACGUCAUCGACAACCAGGGCAUCGACUCGGAGGCUGCGUACCCGUACAGAGGACAGGCACAGCAGUGCCGCUACGAGGCCGCGGACCGCGCCGCCAACUGCUCCGGGUACAGCUUCCUGCCCCCAGGAGACGAGGGCGCCCUGAAGGAGGCGCUCGCCACCAUCGGACCCAUUUCCGUGGCGAUUGACGCCACGCAGCGCACAUUCGCCUUCUACAGGAGCGGUACGUUGCGCAGCAUCCAGACCGGGUCUUGGGUGCAGGAAGACGGGGGAUGGAGUGUACGAUGACGCGAGGUGCACCCAGAAGGUGAACCAUGGGGUGCUAGUGGUGGGCUACGGCACCCUGAACGGAGACGACUACUGGCUGGUCAAGAACAGCUGGGGGGCGUCGUUUGGAGACCGGGGCUACAUCCGGAUGUCUCGCAACAAGAAGAACCAGUGUGGCAUCGCUCUGUACGGCUGCUAUCCCACCAUGUAGCUGCAGGGGGAGCCCCACUGUACAGUUUAAUUACACGUUGAUUCAACCAUGUUUUGUUUCUUAAAACUCCUUUUAAUGCACCAUUCUUUAUAUAUCAAAAGACAAAUAUAUCCUUUAAAUAUAUAUCUUUAAAUAUUACAGUUGUGGAAAUCGUCUUAACGGUGUGUUUGUUUGUAUGGACUCGACGUGUGUUUUUAAUCACUAAUAAAGAUAGUAAGUGGACUGUGCUUGAACACUACAUGAA